rnacentral:rRNA from 1 species
CAGCAGCCGCGGGAAUACGUAGGUGGCAAGCGUUGUCCGGAAUUAUUGGGCGUAAAGGGCUCGCAGGCGGUUUCUUAAGUCUGAUGUGAAAGCCCCCGGCUCAACCGGGGAGGGUCAUUGGAAACUGGGAAACUUGAGUGCAGAAGAGGAGAGUGGAAUUCCACGUGUAGCGGUGAAAUGCGUAGAGAUGUGGAGGAACACCAGUGGCGAAGGCGACUCUCUGGUCUGUAACUGACGCUGAGGAGCGAAAGCGUGGGAAGCGAACAGGAUUAGAUACCCGGGUAGUCCCUGUCUCUUAUAC